GACGAACGCUGGCGGCGUGCCUAAUACAUGCAAGUCGAACGAAGCUGUUUUAACUGGUGCCUGCACCGACUUAAACAACUGAGUGGCGAACGGGUGAGUAACACGUGGGUAACCUGCCCCAAAGCGGGGGAUAACAUUUGGAAACAGAUGCUAAUACCGCAUAAUCACAGAAACCACAUGGUUUCUGUGUAAAAGAUGGUUUCGUCUAUCACUUUGGGAUGGACCCGCGGCGUAUUAGGUAGUUGGUAAGGUAAUGGAUUACCAAGGCAAUGAUACGUAGCCGAACUGAGAGGUUGAUCGGCCACAUUGGGACUGAGACACGGCCCAAACUCCUACGGGAGGCAGCAGUAGGGAAUCUUCCACAAUGGACGAAAGUCUGAUGGAGCAACGCCGCGUGAGUGAAGAAGGUUUUCGGAUCGUAAAACUCUGUUGUCAGAGAAGAACGUGUGCGAGAGUAACUGUUCGUGCAGUGACGGUAUCUGGCCAGAAAGCCACGGCUAACUACGUGCCAGCAGCCGCCGUAA
rnacentral:rRNA from 1 species